UACAGAGGUCCCAAGCGUUGUUCGGAUUCAUUGGGCGUAAAGGGUGUGUAGGCGGUUCUUUAAGUUUGCUGUGAAAUCUCCCGGCUUAACCGGGAGGGUGCGGUGAAUACUGAGGGACUAGAGUACGGGAGAGGAAAGUGGAAUUCCUGGUGUAGCGGUGAAAUGCGUAGAUAUCAGGAGGAACACCGGUGGUGUAGACGGCUUUCUGGACCGUAACUGACGCUGAGACACGAAAGCGUGGGUAGCAAACAGG
rnacentral:rRNA from 1 species